rnacentral:rRNA from 1 species
AGCGGAGGAAAAGAAAAUAACAAUGAUUCCCUCAGUAACGGCGAGCGAAGAGGGAUAAGCUCAAAUUUUAAAUCUGUUGGGUUCCACUUAACAGAGUUGUAUUUUGAAGAAACGUUUUCUGCGUCCAGGAUUAGCCUAAAUCCUUUGGGAUAAGGUAUCAUGGAGGGUGAGAAUCCCGUUCAUGGUUAAUCUUAAGGAAGCUCUACGAUACGUUUUCCAAGAGUCGAGUUGUUUGGGAUUGCAGCUCAAAAUGGGAGGUAAAUUUCUCCUAAGGCUAAAUAUUGGCGAGAGACCGAUAGCGAACAAGUACCGUGAGGGAAAGAUGAAAAGAACUUUGAAAAGAGAGUUAAACAGUACGUGAAAUUGUUGAAAGGGAAACGAUUGAAGUCAGUCAUACCAACGGGAAAUCAACCUUUUGAGCUNGGUCUCGUGGGUUUUGAAGAGUUUCAAAGCCUUCGGAUUCGCGGGAUUGGGAUCUCUUGGUGUACUUUUUCGUACGGUUAGUCAACAUCGGUUUUGAAUGUCAUAAAAUGACUGGAGGAAUGUAGCUUCGAUCUCGUAUUGAAGUGUUAUAGCCUUUGGUAGAUGUGAUGUUUGAGACCGAGGAUUGCAACGGAUACCCUUCAGGGCUAUUCGUCUGAUCUCUGAUACGUUGCCUUGAUGUUGAAAGCUUGCUUAUGAUGUUAGGGUAUUACGGUCAAAAGGUUAGAACGAAUUACAUUCGUUAAGGAUGUUGACGUAAUGACUUUAAACGACCCGUCUUG